UCGGGAAUUUUGGGCAAUGGGCGAAAGCCUGACCCAGCAACGCCGCGUGAAGGAUGAAGUAUUUCGGUAUGUAAACUUCGAAAGAAUAGGAAGAAUAAAUGACGGUACUAUUUAUAAGGUCCGGCUAACUACGUGCCAGCAGCCGCGGUAAUACGUAGGGACCAAGCGUUGUUCGGAUUUACUGGGCGUAAAGGGCGCGUAGGCGGCAAUUCAAGUCAUCUGUGAAAUCUCCGGGCUUAACUCGGAACGGUCAGAUGAUACUGCUUUGCUAGAGUGCAGAAGGGGCAAUCGGAAUUCUUGGUGUAGCGGUGAAACGCGUAGAUAUCAAGAGGAACACCUGAGGUGAAGACGGGUUGCUGGGCUGACACUGACGCUGAGGCGCGAAAGCCAGGGGAGCAAACGGGAUUAGAUACCCGCGUAGUCCCUGAGCGGGCUGGCAAGGCGCAU
rnacentral:rRNA from 1 species